rnacentral:misc_RNA from 1 species
GAUGAAGAACGCAGCGAAAUGCGAUAAGUAAUGUGAAUUGCAGAAUUCCGUGAAUCAUCGAAUCUUUGAACGCACAUUGCGCCCCCUGGCAUUCCGGGGGGCAUGCCUGUCCGAGCGUCAUUUCACCACUCAAGCCUGGCUUGGUGUUGGGCGACGUCCUCUUUGGGGACGCGCCUCGAAACGCUCGGCGGCGUGGCACCGGCUUUAAGCGUAGCAGAAUCUUUCGCUUUGGAAGUCGGGGCCCCGUCUGCCGGAAGACCUGCUCGCAAGGUUGACCUCGGAUCAGGCAGGGAUACCCGCUGAACUUAAGCAUAUCAAUAAGCGGAGGA